rnacentral:rRNA from 1 species
UACGAAGGGGGCUAGCGUUGUUCGGAAUUACUGGGCGUAAAGGGCGCGUAGGCUGUGCUGUAAGUCAGGCGUGAAAUCCCCGGGCUCAACCUGGGAAUUGCGCUUGAUACUGCGGCGCUUGAAGACGGGAGAGGAUGGCGGAAUUCCCAGUGUAGAGGUGAAAGGCGUAGAUAUGGGGAAGAACACCGGUGGCGAAGGCGGCCAUCUGGCCCGUAUUUGACGCUGAGGCGCGAGAGCGUGGGGAGCAGACAGG